GAGGGUAUAGCUCAGGGUUAGAGCUCAUGCCUCACAGGCAUGAGGUCCUGGGUUCGAUCCCCAGUACCUCCA
rnacentral:tRNA from 1 species